AGGAAAUAUAUUAGCCGGUAGCAUUUGUCAUCAUUAUCAAAUGUUACAAUUGUAUAUAAUGGUAUGUGCCAUACUUUUAUAUGGUGGGAAGUACAGUAGAUUUGCUUAUACCAGCACCAACUUGAAUGUGUGAAUAAUGUGUUGUACUACAAUGUAAGUUGGCUGUGGGAGCACUAGGUGACAGGGAUUCUUCAGCUCAGUUAUAUUAUCAUAGGGCCACUGCUGAAUAUGUAGUCUAUCAUUGACUGAAAUGUCCUAUGUGACACGUGACUGUCCUUGUACAGUACCUCUUGACCCUUUAUACAUCUGAUCUUGGGCCGAUGGCUGUGACUUUCUCCCUGCAUUUCCACCCACCUUGUGCCUGACGUCCUCCUCUGCACUCAGAUUAUCAGCCCCAUGUCUGUCUGCUGCCUGCCCAGGCUUUGUCUUGGCCUUUCCCACCCACAGCCCGUGGGCUUCUCUAUGUUGUCUUCCUUUCCCCUGACAAUCAACACUUUAAUUUCCUGUAGAGUGCUGGCCUUAAGCAAAAGAGAUCAAGAGAUCACUUCUUCUUACUAAAGACAGCAACUGUUAGAUUUUAAAAGACGUUAUGAACUCAAAUGCAUCUUCGAUCUUACCGUGUGUGGGAAAGAAUAAUAGACUUUGUGAUCCAGUGUUGAAAGACUGUGUACUGUUGUAUUACAGAAGAAUGUGCAUUAAGAUCGAUUGCAUCUUUGCAGGAGGAAAAGAUGGGGGCAUCUUAAAUGAUAAGGAGGCUGGAUUCAGACCUGUACUACUGAAUGCACAUCUAGAAGACAUCAAAGCUGGUGACCAGAGAAGAGUUAGGGAAGAUGAAACCUUCAGCUGAGCAAGGGGAAGGUAAGAGACAGAAACUGAGAGAAUCUAACAAACGAUUCCUUGUUUCCAAGAUGUCAGUGGGACAUUUCAAGGCCAUGAUAUGAAUUCAUGUGCAUCAGGACAUCCAGAAUAUCACAGGCUGUCCAUAGCUGCAUGAGAGACGCAGUCACUGAGUUAGUGGGAAGGCUCUGACAUUUUUCUUAAAAAGAAAAUUGGUUUCUUAAAAAGCAAACUUAAAAAUCUCAACUCCAAUUUCAUUAUUCAUUCCUUUCCCCCAAAGCUUGACACCGUGUGCAGCAGCACCCAGAUCCAGAGGGACUUUGUCGGACCGAGGCAGGAAGGGCAGGGCGCUGGCACCGGGCACGAGAUUGGCCGUUACCGCAGAGGGUUCUCUUUCCAACUAACAGCGUUGUGCUAAGACUUUUUUAUGCUUCAGAGACUCAGAAAAGCACACUGAGACGGUCACUAUUCACUGGCUCUCACAGAGAUAACAGUGAUCAUCGGGUGGUGAGAGGCCUGGCGAGGAGGAUGGGCCUAAGCGCAACAGGCGGCCUUAGGCAGCUCGCCAGGGCAGUGUACACCCGUGCACGGCCGACUGAGGGCUGGGGGCGUUGUGAUCGCUGCCGCUCGGUUGGCUUGUAGGGCAGUGGUGUAGACAGCAUUGUGUCAGCCUGGUCACCACAUCCUCCAGCCGUGACCACAGCGACCCCUUCCCGUUGUGAGGCCUUUAGCUCCGACCUUGGGUGUGGAGGGGUGGGGUAGGGGCUUCAGAGAGGGGUGCAGACCUAUGGGGGGGCAUUGUCGCUGUUGAGAGCGGGCAGUUCCAAUGUGCCAGAGAAAAGCCACCGAGUGCUUUUUUUAAGUCGAGAGGUGAAGUUUCUCAGCUCAGUAAGGAAAGGAGGAAAAGUGUGUGGAAGCUGCUAAGAAAGAAUCUGCUGAGCCGUUCC
ensembl:lincRNA